CACCUGGUUGGAGCCUGCACACCAAUCCAGGGUGCACCUCAAUGGUCUGGAUGUCUCCAGCAGGUUUGUCCUGUUGGUGCUUUUUGUUGUGUGGCCUGCUGUGUAGUUUUGAGUUCAGAAGAGAAACUGAAGGGAGAGGCAGUCAUGACAUGUGAACAUCUGUGUCGACAUGUGUUACAUGUAUGUGCUGCAUUGAAGUUUUGCAGCCGCUCAGUCCAGUGCCAGGCCCGGAUUACCUGUCUCACCCAGACAGGGAUAAAGACACAGGCAGACAGGCAGCACCCUCCAACCCAAGGCUGU